UACGGAGGGUGCAAGCGUUGUCCGGAAUCACUGGGCGUAAAGGGCGCGUAGGCGGCCCGGUAAGUAGGGGGUGAAAUCCUGCGGCUUAACCGCAGGGCUGCCUUCUAAACUGUCGGGCUCGAGCACGGUAGAGGCAGAUGGAAUUCCCGGUGUAGCGGUGGAAUGCGUAGAGAUCGGGAGGAAUACCAGUGGCGAAGGCGGCUGCCUGGCCUGUUCUUGACGCUGAGGCGCGAAAGCUGGGGGAGCAAACGGG
rnacentral:rRNA from 1 species